rnacentral:tRNA from 1 species
GGGCGUAGUUCAGAGGUAGAACGUCAGCUUCCCAAGCUAAUGGAAGCUGAGUGAUUUCAACCGAAUCUCUGUAAACUGCCCG